rnacentral:rRNA from 1 species
GCAUAUCAAUAAGCGGAGGAAAAGAAACUAACAAGGAUUCCCUUAGUAACGGCGAGUGAACCGGGAAAAGCUCAAAUUUGUAAUCUGGCUGUCUUCGAUAGUCCGAGUUGUAAUCUAUAGACGUGUUUUCCGUGCUGGACCGUAUCUAAGUCCCUUGGAACAGGGUAUCAAAGAGGGUGACAAUCCCGUGCUUGAUACGACCACCAGUGCUCUGUGAUACACGCUCUACGAGUCGAGUUGUUUGGGAAUGCAGCUCAAAAUGGGUGGUAAAUUCCAUCUAAAGCUAAAUAUUGGCGAGAGACCGAUAGCGAACAAGUACCGUGAGGGAAAGAUGAAAAGCACUUUGGAAAGAGAGUUAAACAGUACGUGAAAUUGUUGAAAGGGAAACGAUUGAAGUCAGUCGUGUUCUUUGGAUUCAGCUAGUUCUUCUAGUCUACUUCCUUUGAACGGGUCAACAUCAGUUUUGUCCGGUGGAUAAAGAUAGUAGGAAUGUAGCUCCCUCGGGAGUGUUAUAGACUAUUAUUGCAUGCACUGGGUGAGACUGAGGACUGCAGCUCGCCUUUUGGCCGGCCUUCGGGUACGUUCGAGCUUAGGAUGUUGACAUAAUGGCUUUAAACG